AACGUAGGAGACAAACGUUAUCCGGAGUUACUGGGCGUAAAGGGCGUGUAGGCGGUUAGUUAAGUCUGGCGUGAAAGCUCUCGGCUAAACCGGGAGAGGUCGUUGGAUACUGGCUGACUAGAGGACGGUAGAGGCGUGUGGAAUUCCGGGGGUAGUGGUGAAAUGCGUAGAGAUCCGGAGGAACACCAGUGGCGAAGGCGACACGCUGGGCCGUACCUGACGCUAAAGCGCGACAGCAUGGGGAGCAAACGGG
rnacentral:rRNA from 1 species